AGAGUUUGAUCCUGGCUCAGGAUGAACGCUAGCUAUAGGCUUAACACAUGCAAGUCGAGGGGAAACGGCAUUAUGUGCUUGCACAUUUUGGACGUCGACCGGCGCACGGGUGAGUAUCGCGUAUCCAACCUGCCCUUUACUUGGGGAUACCCCGUUGAAAGACGGCCUAAUACCCGAUGUAAUUCAUUGAUGGCAUCAGAUAUGAAUAAAAGAUUUAUCGGUAAAGGAUGGGGAUGCGUCUGAUUAGCUUGUUGGUGAGGUAAAGGCUCACCAAGGCGACGAUCAGUAGGGGUUCUGAGAGGAAGGUCCCCCACAUUGGAACUGAGACACGGUCCAAACUCCUACGGGAGGCAGCAGUGAGGAAUAUUGGUCAAUGGGCGAGAGCCUGAACCAGCCAAGUAGCGUGCAGGAUGACGGCCCUAUGGGUUGUAAACUGCUUUUAUACGAGAAUAAUUUGAUGCACGUGUGCGUUAUUGCAUGUAUCGUAUGAAUAAGGACCGGCUAAUUCCGUGCCAGCAGCCGCGGUAAUACGGAAGGUCCAGGCGUUAUCCGGAUUUAUUGGGUUUAAAGGGAGUGUAGGCGGUUUGUUAAGCGUGUUGUGAAAUUUAGAUGCUCAACAUUUAACUUGCAGCGCGAACUGGCGAACUUGAGUGCACACAACGUAUGCGGAAUUCAUGGUGUAGCGGUGAAAUGCUUAGAUAUCAUGAAGAACUCCGAUUGCGAAGGCAGCAUACGGGAGUGUAACUGACGCUUAAGCUCGAAGGUGCGGGUAUCGAACAGGAUUAGAUACCCUGGUAGUCCGCACAGUAAACGAUGGAUGCCCGCUGUUGGUACCUGGUAUCAGCGGCUAAGCGAAAGCAUUAAGCAUCCCACCUGGGGAGUACGCCGGCAACGGUGAAACUCAAAGGAAUUGACGGGGGCCCG
rnacentral:rRNA from 1 species